UCACAGGGGCAGAGCCAGGAGCAGUGGCAGAAUCACCCCCUGCACGUAUAAAACCUGCCAUUAAGGAGCAGAGUGACCCAGGAGUGAUGCAAACAGGACAGGCAAACAGGACAUGGCACAUCAGAAGGGUGUGGUGCAGCAGUUUAUGCAGACAGUUCACACAAGACUCCUUACACAGGCCACUUAAGCAGAGAGACAAAAGCUAUCAGAAAAUCUACCCAGUGUUCUGUUUAAUCUGGUACCAAGACACCAGGUCAUUGUCAAGGAAAACCAUUAAGAAAUGGAUGUUCAAAUGCUUCUCUUCCUCAUGGAACUACAAUCAUAGUUUUCACAGGAUUUAUAAACUGCUUAAAUGGUAAAAGGCAAAGGAUUUGGACUGCACCAUGAUUCAUACAUAAGCUCAACUAGAAAAUGACUGGCUGUAUUUAACAGGUUUAAUGGAAGAAUGUUGGCACACUCAUCAGAAUGUGUUUUUUUUUCCCUUUUGAAAGUAUUCAAACUUGGAAU